GUAGGGAAUAUUGGGCAAUGGAUGCAAGUCUGACCCAGCCAUCCCGCGUGCCGGAAGAAGGCCCUCAGGGUUGUAAACGGCUUUUGACGGUGAAGAAUCGACAGGAUGCGUCCUGUUUUGACGGUAGCCGUUGAAUAAGCACCGGCUAACUCCGUGCCAGCCGCCGCGGUAAUACGGAGGGUGCGAGCGUUGUCCGGAUUUAUUGGGUUUAAAGGGUGCGUCGGCUGGCAGGUAAGUCAGCGGGGAAAAGCUGUCGCUUAACGAUAGUCUUGCCGCAGAUAAUUCAUUUCUUGGAUGAGGAGGAGGCCACUGGAACGGAUGGUGUAGCGGUGAAAUGCAUAGAUAUCAUCCAGAACACCGAUUGCGAAUGCAGGUGGCUGUACCUUAAUCGACGCUGAUGCACGAAAGCAUGGGGAGCAAACAGGAUUAGAAACCCUAGUAGUCC
rnacentral:rRNA from 1 species